AUACGUAGGGGGCGAGCGUUGUCCGGAAUGAUUGGGCGUAAAGGGCGCGUAGGCGGCCCGGUAAGUCUGGAGUGAAAGUCCUGUUUUUAAGAUGGGAAUUGCUUUGGAUACUGUCGGGCUUGAGUGCAGGAGAGGUAAGUGGAAUUCCCAGUGUAGCGGUGAAAUGCGUAGAGGUUGGGAGGAACACCAGUGGCGAAGGCGACUUACUGGACUGUAACUGACGCUGAGGCGCGAAAGUGUGGGGAGCAAACAGGAUUAGAUACCCUGGUAGUCCACACUGUAAACGAUGAAUGCUAGGUGUAGGGGGUAUCGACCCCUUCUGUGCCGCAGUCAACACAAUAAGCAUUCCGCCUGGGGAGUACGGCCGCAAGGUUGAAACUCAAAGGAAUUGACGGGG
rnacentral:rRNA from 1 species